rnacentral:rRNA from 1 species
UACGUAGGUGGCGAGCGUUGUCCGGAUUUACUGGGCGUAAAGCGCGCGCAGGCGGCAGUCUAAGUCCUCUGUGAAAUCACCCGGCUCAACUGGGUGGCUGCGGAGGAGACUGGACGAGCGUUGAGGGGCCUAGAGGCCGGUGGAACUCCCGGUGUAGUGGUGAAAUGCGUAGAGAUCGGGAAGAACACCAGUGGCGAAGGCGGCCGGCUGGGGGGCGCCCUGACGCUGAGGCGCGAGAGCGUGGGGAGCAAACCGG